GACGAACGCUGGCGGCGUGCUUAACACAUGCAAGUCGAACGGAAAGGCCUCUUUCGGGGGGUACUCGAGUGGCGAACGGGUGAGUAACACGUGAGUAACCUGCCCUUGACUUUGGGAUAACUUCAGGAAACUGGGGCUAAUACCGGAUAGGAGCUCCUGCUGCAUGGUGGGGGUUGGACAGUUUCGGCGGUUGGGGAUGGACUCGCGGCUUAUCAGCUUGUUGGUGGGGUAGUGGCUUACCAAGGCUUUGACGGGUAGCCGGCCUGAGAGGGUGACCGGCCACAUUGGGACUGAGAUACGGCCCAGACUCCUACGGGAGGCAGCAGUGGGGAAUAUUGCACAAGGGGUGGAAGCCUGAUGCAGCAACGCCGUGUGCGGGAUGACGGCCUUCGGGUUGUAAACCGCUUUCGCUCAUGACGAAGCUUUGUGUGACGGUAGUGGGUAAAGAAGCACCGGCUAACUACGUG
rnacentral:rRNA from 1 species